rnacentral:lncRNA from 10 species
ACAAUGAACAUUCUGAAUAUAACUAACUUCCUUCCUUCCUGCCUUCCUCCCUCCCUGCCUUCCCUUCCUUCCUGCCUUCCUUCUUCCUUCCUCCCUUUUUUCUUUUCUCCCUUCCUUCCUUCUUAAUAUGUUUUUGGCCUUUUCUUUAUAUAUGUGGCCUAGCAAUAUCCUGUGUUUGGAAAAGUAUAAACCUAAGGCAUCACCUUUACAGAAAAUAUCUUCCACGGAAACAUCUAAAGUGAGGAAGUAAAGUUGCAUUCACAGGCCUUGAACUUUUCCACAUCUCGAUUUUUACCCAUCAUCUCUGCAUAGUUCCCUAAGGCAGCCUUCAAAUGGUGAUGUUUCUUAUAAUCCAGAGUUCAGAAGUGGCUUCUCUUCAAUCUUUCUGUGGAAUUCUAAACCACGUGAUAAAGGAGCUGGUGAAAUAAUGUCUUGCUAUGUUGCCCAGGCUGGUCUCAAACUCAGGCUCAAAUGAUCCACCCAUCUUGGCCUCCCAAAGUGUUACGUGUGAACCACUGCACCUGGCCAAAAAUAUUUUACUAAGAAAAAGGAGUCACCUAUUGUAUGAUUCCAUUUAUAUGAAAUAUCCAAAAUAGGCCACAGAUCAGCCCUGGGGUUCAGAGGGAUCCUGACAGCUACUCCUCAAGAUCCUCUCUGUUGUGAUUCAUCCCCCCGGGGCCCUACAGUUUCUCCUUCCUGACUCUUACAUUUCUUUGGAUGGCAUCAUUAUUUACCUGUCUCCUCCCAUAGUUAGGUGCCAAGCACUGUGGAUUCUGCCUCUCAGUGUCCAGACACCC